AUGUGGGCAGGUUCCGCCUCCACAGUUCCACCUCCCAGAGACCCAUCCCUGAGGCCCCACCUUAGUGGUGGUGGGGAGAAAAAUGGCGACGAUCCAGUGUCUCCUCCACAGACCCGGUGUCCCAAACCACUCUGUUUGAGCCGUCCUCACUGUGCCUCAGGCACAAAUGAGGCAGUUUGUCUCGCUUGCCCACUCCUGUGCAUGGCCCUUGGCUGGGAUGCAAACUCUGACUCCACGUGCCCUGGUACUGGGGAAGCACCUCUCCACACCCGACAUGUGGUCCCUGGCUGGCGGAGGCAGGCAGGCUUUGUCCUGUCCCACAGCACUCCAGGGAGGGGAUCGCUUUCUCUUACUGCGGAUUGUGCCCCUGACCUAGCCACUGAGACGGGGGCUGGCUCCCCUUCUGCCCAGAGAAAAUACCAAGGAAAAGUGCUUCAUUUUCUAUAAUUAGAGAGCAAGAAGAGAUGAGACUAAAUAACUAAAUCUUGGCCAGACCCCGGAACUUAUGAUGCUGCAAGCUGACAAUAUCUUGGGUGAGUGUAUCACUCCUGCUGUCUCAAUUUGCUUUUCAACUCAGUACUAUGGUAGACUGCCUGAUACUUAAUAUUCUGAGCCAGCUUUACAAACUUCCUAAAAUGGUAAUAUGGGGUGGGAAAUUCUGUCUUGAACAGCCAUCCAUAACUAUACUAGACAUAUUGUGGCUGCUGCCCAUAAUGACUCCUGGGCCGUGCUAUUAAAGGCAAGGUAUUACUCUGCAAAGUUUAUGGUAGUAGUCUUGCUGAAACAAGCAAAUACCUUCUAUUACAUUAAUGUUCUAUUUAAAUAACAAAUAGCUGGCCUCUGGCUCCGCUUCACCCUCUUAUGUAUGUCUGGGCCUUUGGGCUUGCAUGCCGGUCAAUAUUUUUAGGCUGCUUCAAGCAGCCAGAACACCAGUUAAUGCAAGAUCACUCUGACAGCCCUUUUUAGAUCCUGACACCUGAUGCUUUCUCUAUGUGCUUUGUAAGAGCAACGUUUAUAAUUUCUACCUUUAAUGCAGUCGUAAAAGUCUGACGGUCUUUUCAGAAGUGAACUAUGCUAUAAAAAGGGAAAAUUGAAGUAAAUUAAGUCAGGGAGCUUUCUGAGUCUUCAAGUAAGAUGUUGUAUACUAUCAUGACAUUUCAACCCACAGCUUGGUGCCAUAGCUUAUCAACUGAGCUGAUGAGCUGUGUCUGCAUUAAGAAAGGGUGUAAGCCAGUCAAAUACCUUUGUAAGCAGCUUGCUAUGCCACAGUCUAUUUUUCCAAGCACCUAAUCAAGGGCAUUUAUUUCUGUGGUUGCAGUAAAAAUGGAAAUAUCAAUGGAGAGCAAUUAUUGAUCAGAAUUUGUUCAAUAUUGAGCUGGGAACCUUGCAGAAAUCUUAAGCUUCCCCCCAUUCACACAUUCAUAAAAGCUUUAUCCUUUAGCAAACU
rnacentral:lncRNA from 1 species